rnacentral:rRNA from 1 species
ACCUGGUUGUUCCUGCCAAUAGUCAUAUGCUUGUCUCAAAGAUUAAGUCACGCAUGUGUAAGAAUGAACUAAUUCAGACUGUGAAACUGUGAAUGGCUCAUUAAAUCAGUUAUAGUUUGUUUGAUGGUACCUACUCGUUGCUGUGAUGAUUCAUGAUAACUCGACAGAUUGCACAGCCCUCGUGCCGAUAAUGCAUCAUUCAAAUUUUUACCCUAUCAACUUUCGAUGGUAGGAUAGUGGCCUACCAUGGUGGUGAUGGGUGACGGAGAAUUAGGUUUCGAUUCCAAAGAGGGAGCCUGAGAAAUGGCUACCACAUCCAAGGAAAGCAGUAGGCGUGCAAAUUACCCAACCCUUACAUGGGGAGGUAGUGACAAUAAAUAACAAUACCGGGCUCUUCGAGUCUAGUAAUUAGAAUGAGUACAAUCUAUAUCCCUUAACAAGGAUCCAUUGGAGGGCUAGUCUGGUGCUAGCAGCCGUGGUAAUUGCAGCUCCAAUAGCGUAUAUUUAAGUUGCUGUUAAAAAGUUCGUAGAUGGACUUUCGGUUGGGCCAGCUGGUCCGCCUUCUGGUGUGCACCGAUCGUCUCAUCCCUUCUGCAUGCGAUACGCUCCUAGUCUUAACUGGCCGGUUCAUACCUCCGGUGCUGUUACUUUGAAGAAAUUAGAGUGCUCAAAGAAAGCCUAUGCUCUGGAUAUAUUAUCAUGGGAUAAUAUUAUAGGAUUUUGGUUCAAUUAUGUUGGCCUUCGGGAUCGGAGUAAUGAUUAAUAGGGACAGUUGUGGGCAUUUGUAUUUCAUAGUCAGAGGUGAAAUUCUUAGAUUUAUGAAAGAUGAAAAAUUAUGAAAGCAUUUGCCAAGGAUGUUUUCAUUAAUCAAGAAUGAAAGUUUGGGGCUUGAAGAUGAUCAGAUACCGUCCUAGUCUCAACCAUAAACGAUGCCGACAAGGGAUCGGCGGAUGUUUCUUAAAGGACUCCGCUGGCACCUUAUGAGAAAUCAAAGUCUUUGGGUUCCGGGGGGAGUAUGCUCGUAAGGCUAAAACUUAAAGUAAUUGACAGAAGGGCACCACCAGGAGUGAGAGCUCUUUCUUUUUUUGGGUAAAUGGUAAAUAAUAUAUAAAUAAACGUAACAAUUACAACAAUACAGUGAUACAAACACCACCUAGAAAGAAUGGUGCACAAAGAAAGGGUAAAUGAGGUUUAAACAGGACCUAAAAACUACCGAAGAAGGGAAAGGCGUGGCUCCCUAAAAAUCCAUACCUCGUUGGCUCAUUAAAGCCUAUUUAUGAAACCCCCCAAUGGGAAAAACCAUAAGUAGGAAAAAGAGCACCAACAACAGAGAAAGAGGCAUGAAUGAAA